rnacentral:rRNA from 1 species
CAGUAGCCGCGGUAAUACGUAGGGCGCAAGCGUUAUCCGGAAUUAUUGGGCGUAAAGAGCUCGUAGGCGGUUUGUCGCGUCUGCCGUGAAAGUCCGGGGCUCAACCCGGGAUCUGCGGUGGGUACGGGCAGACUAGAGUGAUGUAGGGGAGACUGGAAUUCCUGGUGUAGCGGUGAAAUGCGCAGAUAUCAGGAGGAACACCGAUGGCGAAGGCAGGUCUCUGGGCAUUAACUGACGCUGAGGAGCGAAAGCAUGGGGAGCGAACAGGAUUAGAUACCCCCGUAGUCCCUGUCUCUUAUAC